rnacentral:rRNA from 1 species
GUGGGGAAUUUUGGACAAUGGGGGCAACCCUGAUCCAGCCAUCCCGCGUGUGCGAUGAAGGCCUUCGGGUUGUAAAGCACUUUUGGCAGGGAAGAGACGGCGCGGGCUAAUAACCUGUGCUAAUGACGGUACCUGCAGAAUAAGCACCGGCUAACUACGUGCCAGCAGCCGCGGUAAUACGUAGGGUGCAAGCGUUAAUCGGAAUUACUGGGCGUAAAGCGUGCGCAGGCGGUUCGGAAAGGAAGGUGUGAAAUCCCAGGGCUUAACCUUGGAACUGCACUUUUAACUACCGGGCUAGAGUACGUCAGAGGGGGGUAGAAUUCCACGUGUAGCAGUGAAAUGCGUAGAGAUGUGGAGGAAUACCGAUGGCGAAGGCAGCCCCCUGGGAUGAUACUGACGCUUAUGCACGAAAGCGUGGGGAGCAAACA